GAGAUUCCGAAAGUAGCGGCGAGCGAAAUCGGAUUAGCCCUUAAGCUUUAGUGUAGUUAGUGGAACAUUCUGGAAAGUUUGACGAUACAGGGUGACAGUCCCGUACACAAAAACUUAUCUAAAGUGAAAUCGAGUAGGUCGGAGCACGUGAAACUUUGACUGAAUAUAGGUGGACCAUCAUCUAAGGCUAAAUACUCCCAACUGACCGAUAGUGAACCAGUACCGUGAGGGAAAGGUGAAAAGCACCCCGGGAGGGGAGUGAAAUAGAACCUGAAACCGUGUGCUUACAAGUAGUCAGAGCCCGUUAAUGGGUGAUGGCGUGCCUUUUGUAGAAUGAACCGGCGAGUUACGUUAUGAUGCGAGGUUAAGUUGAAGAGACGGAGCCGUAGGGAAACCGAGUCUGAAUAGGGCGAAUUAGUAUCAUGACGUAGACCCGAAACCAUGUGACCUACCCAUGAGCAGGUUGAAGGUGCGGUAAGACGCACUGGAGGACCGAACCAGGGCACGUUAAAAAGUGCUUGGAUGACUUGUGGGUAGCGGAGAAAUUCCAAACGAACUUGGAGAUAGCUGGUUCUCUCCGAAAUAGCUUUAGGGCUAGCGUCGACAUUAGAGAUUCUUGGAGGUAGAGCACUGUUUGGGUGAGGGGUCCAUCCCGGAUUACCAAUCUCAGAUAAACUCCGAAUGCCAAUGAAUUAUGGUCGGCAGUCAGACUGCGAGUGCUAAGAUCCGUAGUCGAAAGGGAAACAGCCCAGACCACCAGCUAAGGUCCCAAAAUAAUUGUUAAGUGGAAAAGGAUGUGGGGUUGCACAGACAACUAGGAUGUUAGCUUAGAAGCAGCUAUUCAUUCAAAGAGUGCGUAAUAGCUCACUAGUCGAGUGACCCUGCGCCGAAAAUGUACCGGGGCUAAAACAAUUUACCGAAGCUGUGGAUACCUUUAUAGGUAUGGUAGGAGAGCGUUCUAUGUGCGAAGAAGGUGUACCGUGAGGAGUGCUGGAACGCAUAGAAGUGAGAAUGCCGGUAUGAGUAGCGAAAGACAGGUGAGAAUCCUGUCCACCGUAAGACUAAGGUUUCCAGGGGAAGGCUCGUCCGCCCUGGGUUAGUCGGGACCUAAGGAGAGACCGAAAGGUGUAUCCGAUGGACAACAGGUUGAUAUUCCUGUACUAGAGUAUGUAGUGAUGGAGGGACGCAGUA
rnacentral:rRNA from 1 species